rnacentral:rRNA from 1 species
GAUGAACGCUGGCGGCGUGCCUAAUACAUGCAAGUCGAGCGAACAGAUGAGGAUCUUGCUCCUCUGACGUUAGCGGCGGACGGGUGAGUAACACGUGGAUAACCUACCUAUAAGACUGGGAUAACUUCGGGAAACCGGAGCUAAUACCGGAUAAUAUAUUGAACCGCAUGGUUCAAUAGUUAAAUACGGUUUUGCUGUCACUUAUAGAUGUAUCCGCGCCGCAUUAGCUAGUUGGUAAGGUAACGGCUUACCAAGGCGACGAUGCGUAGCCGACCUGAGAGGGUGAUCGGCCACACUGGAACUGAGACACGGUCCAGACUCCUACGGGAGGCAGCAGUAGGGAAUCUUCCGCAAUGGGCGAAAGCCUGACGGAGCAACGCCGCGUGAGUGAUGAAGGUCUUCGGAUCGUAAAACUCUGUUAUUAGGGAAGAACAAAUGUGUAAGUAACUAUGCACGUCUUGACGGUACCUAAUCAGAAAGCCACGGCUAACUACGUG